rnacentral:lncRNA from 1 species
ACCGCGACACCCCGUCCCUCACCGUCUGGCUGCUGCCCCUUCCCCUCAGCGGCGCCCCUUCCCCCCCUUUUUGGGCCCUGCUGUCUUCCGCUUCAUGGUCGCUGCUCCCACACAAUUGGGGCCGGACCCGGCUUCCCAAAAAGCCUCGGGCAAACCCGGGUCCUGGGGCGAUGCUUUCCCUUGUCCAAAGUGAAAGGAAGUUCUACCCAGCCUGUAGGCAAACAGCGCAAAACGCCCAUGACAAUGAGGCAGACGUUGCGCCAGGAGUUCGGGAUAACUGGCCCAGAAGAGGUUAGCAAGUUCUGGAGAUGGAGGUCUGACUUGGAGAUCGUGAGUAUCAGCUCACCAUGAUGAUGUCAGCACUGAGAAAGUGCAAACAAUG